GACGAACGCUGGCGGCGUGCUUAACACAUGCAAGUCGAACGGUGAAGCGCCUUCCUUUUUGGUGGGUGUGGAUGAGUGGCGAACGGGUGAGUAACACGUGAGUAACCUGCCCCCUUCUUCUGGAUAACCGCAUGAAAGUGUGGCUAAUACGGGAUAUUCUGGGUCUGUCGCAUGAUGGGUCUGGGAAAGAUAUUGUUUCGGUGGGGGAUGGGCUCGCGGCCUAUCGGUUUGUUGGUGGGGUGAUGGCCUACCAAGGCGGUGACGGGUAGCCGGCCUGAGAGGGUGGACGGUCAAACUGGGACCGGGACACGGCGCAGCUGCGUAAGGGGGCAGACGGGGGGAAUAGGGAACAGUGGGCGAAAGCCUGCUGCGGCGACGCCGCGUGAGGGAUGGAGGCCUUCGGGUUGUGAACGUCUUUCGCAAGUGAAGCAGGCCUGCCUGGUAUGUGGGUGGGUUGACGGUAGCUGGUAAAGAAGCGCCGGCUAACUACGUG
rnacentral:rRNA from 1 species